ACAUACUUCUUUAUGUACCCAUAUGAACAUAAAAAGCUAUGGAAUGUAAAGAAGUAUGUAU
rnacentral:pre_miRNA from 1 species